UCCAGUUUCAUUUCCACAGAUGUUGUUGGGCUUUUUUUCUCUCUUCAGAUGAAGAAUAUCUUUUUUCCUGUCUUCCUCCCAUCACUUCCAGCCGGUGACACCAGAUAACUGCCCCUCCCUGACCCUGGUUCUGUUGGAGGUUUCUUUCUGUUCACAGGGAGUUUUUCCUUCCAAAUAUCACCAAGUGAUUGUUCAAAAUUUACAAACUGUUCAAGCGACUCUUGAAAGACUGAAACAAACAUAUUACUGCUAAAUCCACAAUCAAGAAUGGGGAACCAAGUACCAAAGGAGAGUGACAUGGGCUGCUGCCUCAGAUGCUGCAAAUGUUCUAAAGUCCUGCCUCCAUGCAAAUCAUUUAAUGACUUCUAUAAAUGUUGUAUUGGUGGCCGAGAGGUAUAUGUGUAUAAUGGAGGGCAAUACUACAGACCAGUUGGUUAUGAUGACGCGUAUGAGUGCAGUUGUUGCUUUAAUAAGCAAUAAGCAAAAACUGCACUUACUAAGCAAUAAGCAAAGGUGUAUUAUUAUCUUUUUCUUUUUCAGACUUUACAUUACAGAAAAAGUUAAAUCCUAACUGCUUGCUUUACCAUUGUGGCU